rnacentral:rRNA from 1 species
UACAGAGGUGGCAAGCGUUGUUCGGAAUUACUGGGCGUAAAGGGCGCGUAGGCGGUCUUUUAAGUUCCGUGUGAAAUCCCUCGGCUCAACUGGGGAACGGCACGGGAAACUGGGAGGCUUGAGUUCGAGAGAGGUGAGUGGAAUUCCGAGUGUAGAGGUGAAAUUCGUAGAUAUUCGGAGGAGCACCAGUGGCGAAGGCGGCUCACUGGCUCGAUACUGACGCUGAGGUGCGAAAGCGUGGGGAGCAAACAGG